rnacentral:rRNA from 1 species
AUGGCGAGAUACUGGUGGAGUAGCUCUCUUGACCGCAGAUCUUUACAUUGGCUGGAUUGGGACACACUUGCAACCGCGAAAGUGAAAGGAGGGAUGGGAUUCAGAAACCUGGAGCUCUUCAAUCUAUCUCUUCUAGGAAAGCAUGGAUGGAGGCUCAUCACAAGCCCGAAUUCGCUUUGUGCGCGAGUGCUCAAAGGGAAGUACUUCCCGAAUACAGACUUCCUAGGCGCAAGAGCGCACCGGCACGCUUCGGCUACCUGGCGAGCUAUUUUGGCAGGCAGGGAAGCAUUGGUGUCUGGUAUGAUCAAGAGAAUUGGGGAUGAUACGACGAUUUCGAUCUGGAGGGACCCGUGGAUACCUGGGCUGAUCUCCAUGAAGCCGUCGGUACAAAUUGGUACGACAUAUAUGAAUACGGUUUCAGAAUUGAUCGAUGCAGAGACUGGGACGUGGAAAAUUGACAUUGUGAGAAACAAUUUUAUCUCUCCCUGA